AACAUAUUGUUAUACAUUAUUCUAAUAAUGUUUAUCAAAGGAUACGUAACAGGUUAAAAUUAUGUAAUAAAGUGAAUAUAGGGGUACAAAAUAAAUGAAUGUAUACCCAUUAAUCACUUAGAUUACUUAUUACAGCCUAUGACAGUAAGAAACAAUUAACAUAAGAUAUACACUAUGAAGGGUAACAAUAACAUACUUACCUAUCCUGAACGGAGUAUCCUCAGCAACAAUGAUGAGUUUGAAUACAGGUAUAAUUAUAUUUAUUUAUUAAGUUGAUUAAAAUAGGUAGUAGGAAUGAUAAAAUAAACACUUGAUUAAAUUAAAAAUGAUGAUAUUGGAAUGUUAGAAGCCAGAACAAAACGCACUCACGGAAAGACAAAAAGAAGACGACGAGUCGCCAGGAUCCAGUGGCCGAAUGAGUCGAGAAGUCUCUUAUGAGAUAGAAAGGGGAAAAUAGUGGAGUGGUGUUGUCCGGUUCUUAUUAUCAUGAUUUAUUAUUAUAUGAGAUAUUUAACUGUAAUACAUACUAUUUGUAUUAAUAUAAA